rnacentral:rRNA from 1 species
CCUACGGGAGACAGCAGUGAGGAAUAUUGGUCAAUGGACGAGAGUCUGAACCAGCCAAGUAGCGUGAAGGAUGACUGCCCUAUGGGUUGUAAACUUCUUUUAUAUGGGAAUAAAACGUUCCACGUGUGGGAUUUUGUAUGUACCAUAUGAAUAAGGAUCGGCUAACUCCGUGCCAGCAGCCGCGGUAAUACGGAGGAUCCGAGCGUUAUCCGGAUUUAUUGGGGUUAAAGGGAGCGUAGGUGGAUUGUUAAGUCAGUUGUGAAAGUUUGCGGCUCAACCGUAAAAUUGCAGUUGAAACUGGCAGUCUUGAGUACAGGAGAGGUGGGCGGAAUUCGUGGUGUAGCGGUGAAAUGCUUAGAUAUCACGAAGAACUCCGAUUGCGAAGGCAGUUCACUGGACUGCAACUGACACUGAGGCUCGAAAGUGUGGGUAUCAAACAGGAUUAGAUACCCCAGUAGUC